rnacentral:lncRNA from 1 species
UUCAAGACUCAUUUGGGUAAAUGCUUCAGCAAGCUCUUCCUCGGCGAUGGGAUCAUAUCCGUUGUGAUGGAGUAAAGGUGAUACAGACCAGUUGACGUCAUUCAGCUCUAGUGAGCUCAAAAUGUCUUGUACACCUAAGUUGAAUCUCUUUCUAAGUUGUUUAGACUUUGAACGAGUCAUGGGACCUUCUGGGACGACUGGUACAGGGUGUGUUACAGGAUCUGGUACAUGAUCUAGUUCAGCGGGUUG